rnacentral:rRNA from 1 species
GAGGUUAAGCGACUAAGCGUACACGGUGGAUGCCCUGGCAGUCAGAGGCGAUGAAGGACGUGCUAAUCUGCGAUAAGCGCCGGUAAGGUGAUAUGAACCGUUAUAACCGGCGAUUUCCGAAUGGGGAAACCCAGUGUGACUCGUCACACUAUCAUUAACUGAAUCCAUAGGUUAAUGAGGCGAACCGGGGGAACUGAAACAUCUAAGUACCCCGAGGAAAAGAAAUCAACCGAGAUUCCCCCAGUAGCGGCGAGCGAACGGGGAGGAGCCCAGAGCCUGAAUCAGCAUGUGUGUUAGUGGAAGCGUCUGGAAAGGCGCGCGAUACAGGGUGACAGCCCCGUACACAAAAGCGCAUGUGCUGUGAGCUCGAUGAGUAGGGCGGGACACGUGGUAUCCUGUCUGAAUAUGGGGGGACCAUCCUCCAAGGCUAAAUACUCCUGACUGACCGAUAGUGAACCAGUACCGUGAGGGAAAGGCGAAAAGAACCCCGGCGAGGGGAGUGAAAAAGAACCUGAAACCGUGUACGUACAAGCAGUGGGAGCACCCUUUGGGGUGUGACUGCGUACCUUUUGUAUAAUGGGUCAGCGACUUAUAUUCUGUAGCAAGGUUAACCGAAUAGGGGAGCCGGAGGGAAACCGAGUCUUAAUUGGGCGUUAAGUUGCAGGGUAUAGACCCGAAACCCG